ensembl:lncRNA LINC02717 long intergenic non-protein coding RNA 2717
AGAUUCAAGAAAACCCAGACCAAGCUUGGGAUUCUAAGAGUCUCUCCGUGCAAGCUGACCUCAUGGAGAAAGUGGCAGAGCUUGUCCCUUCCACUGGGAGACCCUGGAGUUCAUUCAGGAGACUGGAUGCCCCUGGGCUCGGGCUGCACUGUGGACCCCACUGUGGAAUCACCACUCCCAGGCUGACCUCAGGCAGGUUCCAGAUCUGUUCUCCACUUCUGCAACAAAACUUACCCGGGCCAUGGUUUUAUGCAGAAAUCUGACAAGGCAGGUCCAUCAAGAGGUUUCCAGAAGAAGGCAUCGCUAUCACAGGAGAUGGCAGCUCCAUGCCUGUUACUGCCCCUGAAGAUGUUCCAGUGGGACAGGGUGUGGAGGUGGAAGACAGCAACAGUGACGAUCCUGACCCUAAAUUGACCAGAUUGCUUUGAGGAACUAAGAAGCUGUUAAACCUUUGGAAGAACUGGCCUGAUACGUUGUCUACAUGGUUCUCCUACAAGGUGUAUGAGUCCAUUUUUAUGCUGCUGAUAAAGACAUACCUGCAACUAAGAGGAAAAAGUUGUUUAACUGGACUUACAGUUCCACAUGGCUGGGAAGGCCUCAGAAUCAUGGCAGGAGGCGAAAGGCACUUCUUACAUGGUGGCACCAAGGGAAAAUGAGGAUGAUGAAAAAGUGAAAACCCCUGAAAAAAUCAGAUUUUGUGAGACUUAUUCACUACCACGAGAACAGUCUGGGGGAAACCGCUCCCAUGAUUCAAAUUAUCUCCCACCCGGUCCCUGCCCCCGCAACCCCCCCACAACAUAUGAGAAUUACGGGAGUACAAUUCAAGAAGAUUUAGGUGGGGACACAAAGCCAAACCAUAUUACAAGGUUUAUAGCCUUGCAGUAAGUAAAGAAUACCAUUUUCUGACAAGCCCAGGAACUUCAGGAUAUUUUGGGGACCUCAAAAAAGAGGGAUUUACCCAAUUCAUACAAGUAUUACAGGCAAAAUCUGAUGGUGAAUUGCUGGCCUGGCUUCCAAUCUUAAGAGGCUUUUAAAGAUUGAACCUGAAAUUCCUUAUAAAAAAAGUUUCAGUCAAGUCAAUUUAAAAAGUGCUCAGAUGGCCAAGUACAAUUCUGGCUGUACUUUAGUCAAAUACUCAGGCCAAGUAUAACAAGUCUAAGACUUUAUUUUGCAAAUAAAUUGGUCCUACUGUAAACCAAAAAGUGUCUGAGACAAGUUUCAGUCCAUUUAGAAAGUUUAUUUUGCCAAGGUUAAGGACAUACCAGUGACACAGCCUCGGGAGAUCUUGACAACAUGUGCCUAAGGUGGUUGGGGCACAGCUUGGUUUUCUACAUUUUAGGGAGACAUGAGACUCAAUCAUUAUAUGCACGAUGUACAUUGGUUUGGUCCAGAAAAGAGGGACAACUUAAAACCAAAAGAGGGCUUCCAGGUCAGAGGUAGAUAAGAGACAAAUGGUUGCAUUCUUUUGAGUUUCUGAUUAGGCUUUCACUGAAUACACAAUUUACAGAAAUAGUCGCUUAUGCCUUAGUCUGGCUUAGUAAAGCAACAGAACAAAGGAAGCACUCAGAUGCGCGUGUCCCAUGUGAGCAGAGGGAUAACUUUGACAUCUGUUUGUGCUUUGUCUAAAGGAAUUUUUCUUCGUGGGAAAAUUGUAAGGGAGGCUUUCAGACAAAUUUUUCUCCUAUUUUUUAAGCUCACUGAAAUUGAUAAUACCUUUUUACCGAGGCCUUGCAAGCUGAAGUUUAUGCAUAAAUAACCUUGUGACAUACAAAUUACAGAUCACAAAAUCUGUCAGAUCGCCAAUGCCUCCUUCCACAGUAACUAAAGAUGCCUCUAGUUGAACAGCUGGAUACCUCAACUGACUGCUCUCCAGACUCUAAAGAAAUCCGUUUAUAGACUGCUCCAAAUAUUAACCUUUGUUUUUCUGCUGUUUGGGAGCCCAUCUGCAACGCCAUUUCCUGAAAUGAGACACAGCUGUUUAAUUGGACUGGUCUACUCGUAGAAAUAGAACACCAGUUUAAUGAUAAUUUUUGCUACUCAGCUAUUAACUCAAAUAUUAUCUUCACACCCAACAACUUAGAUUUUAGUGUGUGAAACUUUGAGGGACAUUUUAGACAGAGGACUUUUGGGGUGCAGAAGUGGUUCCCUGAUAUAUGACACCUGGGCAUGGUGAGUGCUUUUAA